rnacentral:rRNA from 1 species
AGAAUCAACGCUGGCGGCGUGCCUAACACAUGCAAGUCGCACGAGAAAGGGUAGCAAUACCUGAGUACAGUGGCGCACGGGUGAGUAACACGUGAAUUAUCUACCUCCGAGUGGGGAAUAACUGAGAGAAAUCUUAGCUAAUACCGCAUAACACUUACGAGUCAAAGCAGCAAUGCGCUUGGAGAGGAGUUCGCGGCAGAUUAGUUAGUUGGCGGGUAAUGGCCCACCAAGACGAUGAUCUGUA